CGGGCCUUCAGCUGCUCCCACAAUCCUCUCUGUUGUGUGUCUCUGUGGAUCCCUGCUGUCGAUCAUUUCAUUCAUUUCCAUAUUUAGAAAAGAAGUUUCCCAGUUUCCAGGCGAGGCGGAGAGAGCAGCUGCAGAGAGGAGCUGGAUCUCGGUGACACUGAGGAGACGUUAAAAACAGGAGGAUUCUGGGUGGAGUUCUGUAGCCCGUCUCUGGUGAGCUACGCCGAAUCUAAAGAGAGACACGUCCCAACAACAGAGCCCAGGUAACAAAGCCCAACCUCGGCCCGACAUGUGCCCGAGUCUGGCCCGCAUUGUCUGUGUGUGUGCUCCAGAACUGGUCCAGAUGUGGAAGUAGUCCCGCUGUCGCCUGGAGACCAAAGAACAAGAUCAAAGGAGGAGUCAAUAAAUAAAUAAACAAACACUUGUUUACAAUAUUUACAAGACACAUGAAAACUGCAGCUCCUCCCACAAACACACCUUCAUAACAACAACUCCACAACGGCAAUUAAAAACAUAAACUUAUUCAACAAGUUG